UACGGAGGAUGCGAGCGUUAUCCGGAUUUAUUGGGUUUAAAGGGUGCGUAGGCGGGAUGCCAAGUCAGCGGUAAAAAUGCGGCGCUCAACGCCGUCGAGCCGUUGAAACUGGCGUUCUUGAGUGGGCAAGAAGUAUGCGGAAUGCGUGGUGUAGCGGUGAAAUGCAUAGAUAUCACGCAGAACUCCGAUUGCGAAGGCAGCAUACCGGCGCCCUACUGACGCUGAGGCACGAAAGCGUGGGUAUCGAACAGG
rnacentral:rRNA from 1 species